rnacentral:lncRNA from 1 species
UCGACCUGUACCCUCCCAUGGUGACUAGAUCGCCACCGUCCAUAUACCUCGCGCGCCCAUGUGACGAAGAAUAAAUCUGCGCUGGAAAUUCUCUUAAAAUGCACUGGAGCUCGUCCGUCGAUCUUCCCGCGCACCGUGCGAGCCGGAGAUGCGCUUCGUCCCUGGCACCGAGGCGUCCGCGCUGCCCACAUCGCUGAGAGGCGGUUACUGCAGCAUCAGGCAGCGGACGAAGUCGGCCUUGGCGAGUUUCUGCGGGGUCUGCAAGCCACAAUGCGCUGCUACCGCAUAUGCAUGGCUCCAAUCAGCACGACUCCAAACGCGGAUUUUCCGGUUACAGCGUGGACGCCAAGGCUGUUUCUAACGACGUGGUGAAAGACCGAUUGCCGACCACCGACCACUGGCCACCGACUAUCGACCAUAAAAACGGGAACGACAGCUAUUCGCUUUAAAAUGACAGGGACUCGGAUAUAACGAGAACAAUACUGCCUCUAACUUCAAUGUAUGGGUUUAUUGGAAACAGGUGACAAAAAUAUACACAAACACUAAUGAGGCUCAUAGGCAGAGGCACCUUGCGCACAAUAAAUUACAUUCACGAAUGACAGCUCUUUUCCAAAGAUAUGGACGUCGGACAAAAGCGCAGCAGAACCAGACUUGCUAUUGCGUACGGCUUCAACAAUCAAACA